CUAAAGGCUGUUAGAAAGAAAUACUUAGAGGCAGUGUUUUCAUUUUGUUUCAUAGCACUAAUGAAACAGGGAGGAACAUGUUUCUGCAGCAUCCUUCAGUUUGAUGAAAUUUAAAUUCUCAGUACUUAUUCUUGCAAGUGAGGAAAGAUCUAAGGACUAGACUCCAAGAUUUUACAAGUUGUAAUAAAAAGGAUUUUAUUUUUCUGUCUUUUAUUCAGUCAAAGGUCUAUUAAAGGCAGUGGUGGAGAAUGGGGAGCACUCUAUGCCCAGCAAUGCUGGGUAGACCUGCAAUGAGAAAUAAGCAUGUGUCAUGCAAGAGGAAAACCCUAGGAGAAUGUUUUAAAGCAGUGUUCCUAAGACAAUGUAGAAAUAAACAAGGACAAUGAAGGGCACGCAAAGAAGGACUGGAAGCCAACAAUAAAUGGAUACAAUGCUAGAAGAGCAGGUGUGUUUUCACUCAGAGGAAGCAGCUACGGAUAUGAAAAUGACUUAGCAGCUGGUGAAUAAGAAGACUGAAGCUGUGCCAGACGAAGGAAGUGAGCGUGUGUGUGUGUGUGUGCGUGUGCACGUGCAUUUUGCCACUAAUUAUGCAAAAAGGCCCAAACCCAUUGAUCAUGUGUUUCUCUCCCUACUUCACCAGGAAUGAAUCUUAAAGUGUGACAACUCUUUCAGAAAGUCAGAGUUAUUACCAGUGAUGUAUUUUCUGUAUUAGAACUGAGAACACUCAAUGAAUUAUCCUUUUUUUUUUUUCUUUAUCUUUUUGUACACAUAUUCCUGUUUACAACAUGGUAAGAACAAAAAUCAUUUGCAAGAAGCUGGUCUGCAUUUUUCUUUAUCAUUUAGUCCUCUUAGCUUCACAGACAACGAGGCUGUAUUCAGCCAAGCACGGUGUCAGUACGUUGUAGGCCACUACACAGCACAUAGCUUCAAGCUUUCUUUGCUUAAAGUUGGGGAAGAUUUACCAUAAAAUGCAGCAGGCACAGCUGCUGAUUUAUCUUUGGUGCAUGUAGACACCAAGAAAUUUUAGUUAAAACUUGAGCAGCCUGACUGCUC